rnacentral:rRNA from 1 species
GAAACAUUUCAACGGCCGCGGUAUUCUAACCGUGCAAAGGUAGCGUAAUCACUUGUCUUUUAAAUAAAGACCAGUAUGAAUGGCUAAAUGAGGGCAGACCUGUCUCCUGCACCCAAUCAGUGAAAUUGAUCUUCUGGUACAAAAGCCAGAAUAUUAACAUAAGACGAGAAGACCCUGUGGAGCUUAAAAUCUACAACUACUUAAAAACUAGUAUUAAUUUUAAGUUGGGGCGACUUCGGAACAAAACAAGACUUCCGAGCAAGGAACAACCCGCUUCCUAAUAAGGCCCACAAGCCAACUAAGCCGACCCAGUCACACUGAGCAACGAACCAAGUUACCCCAGGGAUAACAGCGCAAUCCCCUCCAAGAGUCCAUAUCGACAAGGGGGUUUACGACCUCGAUGUUGGAUCAGGACACCCCAAUGGUGUAGCCGCUAUUAAGGGUUCGUUUGUUCAACGAUUAAUAGUCCUACGUGAUCUG